CAAGCCAAAGGCCGUCCAGGGCGAGGUGCCGGGAGGCGCGCGUCCCCGCACACCGACUGCGGUGACAAACUGCCGAUUCCCACACACACAAGUAGCAGCAGCAGCUACAUCCCAUUACAGUGCUUUCGGGGACACUGAGAAGUCAUUUGCUAUUUYCAGUGGCGCUACACAAGCCAAGGAACCUGUCUGGAGAAUGGAYAACAGCAUCAAAAAAUAAAUCUGCUCUCUAAGGGCACACAUCUAUUAUACAUUUGCUAUAAAAGAGUUUACGUGCUGACUAAUUCCAAAGUUUUCUUGCUUUUGGGCAUCCUGUGCAAGGAAAAGCCCUUACAACUCCUUUGGGAAUGUCAUCCGUGUGCUGAACUGAUGACUGGGCUAUUCUGGCUUGUCUGAUCGGCUCUACAACAGCGUAAAUCCAGUCUGACCACCCACCUCUGGGACGUUCCCCCAGCAUGCACCCACAGGAACAGGAGGAAGUACAUCUUUCUGCAUCUGAGGCACUUGCGCAUGGCGCACAUGGCCAUGGAAGAGCUGCAGCCUAGAUGGGACAGCGCAACUCAGCUGGGAAGAAAAUGAAAUGGAUUUUCAGAAGACUAAGAAUACUAUAUUUCCAGUUGGAGCAAACUUGUCAUCUGAGUAAAAGGCUCUUAACCAGCCUCCUUACCUGAAACUCCAUAGAGCGGACUGCAAGCAGCUGUGCACGUGGGAGCAAUCCAGCUGAAGCGAACAGAAUUGCUUGAAAGCUUGAAACCAAUCAUCUGGAGGAGUUACCUGAUACUACACAGGGAAAUCCAGCAUUUCCUAAAGACUCCUAAAGACUUCAAUGGUUUCUAGUUUUGAUCCUAGCAGAAGCCGU
rnacentral:lncRNA from 1 species